rnacentral:tRNA from 1 species
GUCCCUGUAGCGCAAUGGACAGCGCGUUGGAUUUCUAAUUCAAAAGGCGUGGGUUCGAAUCCUACCUGGGAUG